rnacentral:lncRNA from 1 species
GGAGACUGCAGGCAUUUCAAUUUUCUUCAAGUCCUUGUUUCAAAAAGGGCCCAAAAUAUGUUCUCUUCUCAGAGGCAGUAAACAGCAAGUGCACAAUGCAGCUUCUCUAAGCCUCUCUUCUCCUGUCUCAGGGAGAAAGGAAUUCUCCAAGCCCUAGAGCCUGACUCACUCGCUGUGUGAGCAUGAAUUAACCAGGAAUGUUCGAGAAUUAUUCCUGAAUAAUUCAUGAACCUGAAUUAAUCAUGCAUUUUCAUGAAUUAUUCAUGAAUAACUCAUGGAAAUGCAAGGUUUAUUCAUGCUCCAAAAAACCCAAGCCUUUUUCUCUUCUCUUCUGCUCUCUCUCCCUGUAAGAAACAGACCUGAAACAAGCUAAGGAAAAAAAUAAUAUAUGUAUAUGGAAAAAGAACAGGAAUAAUAAUGCUGAAACAAAACAACCAGGAAAAAAGAAAGCAAAAGCUCUUUUUUUUUUUCUUUGCAGUGGGGACAGCAGGUGGGAGCUUUCCAAGCCAGACAAAGGAGACCUGACAAGGACCUGUGGUGAAGGGACAAGCCCAAAACAAGGAAGUGUCCGGUCACCUCCUCUCCUGGAGCAGGCAGCAGAGACCUGGACAGACAGGAGACAUCUUGCACGACUCAACACCUGGAGCAGUGCUAACCAGGUGGGCAGCCCUGAUGUCAGGCAAGCUGUACGUGCUCAUCAGCUGGCCCGACGGCAGCCGGGUCAUCAGCAUGGAGAACAUCAAGGAGCCCCGCAAGCCCUUCCACCUCUACAGCGUGGGGGAGCAGGUCCUGGCCCGCUGCCCUGGCUUCAGUGGGCUCUACUGGGGUGUGGUGGAAGGCAUCAGUGAGCAUAAAGGUAUUUUGGAGAAGAAGCUGCUGGAAGAUCGACAGCUCCUGGAGAAGCUAAAAGAAGAACCAGCCGUCCACAGCAUGAUGCCGUCCCCACCAAAAAAAUCCAGGAAAACCUUUCCAAAAUGGACCCCAGGGAAUGCAUCCAGGAAACACCCCAGUGACAGGACCUGUCCUGCAAAGCCUCUGCUGAGGGUGGCUGAGGCCAGCCUGCCCCACGAUGCCAGCAGCUCCUCCAUCCUCAAGGACAGGCGUGUCCUGGGAAGCGUGGCAGGGAGCCCCCGCUCGCUGGCAGCUCCCCCACACCCAGCCAGUGCCUUCACCCCUCCAUCCUCCUUCAUCACCAUGGCCAUGCCAGGGCCAGGCACUUCCCAGAGUGAAGAGGACAGGGCUGGUCCAGCUGCAAGAGCAGAUUAUGUUGCCCUACCAAUGAAGAGGAAGUCAGAUGGCAUCUUUUCCCCGUGCCAGCAGCAGAUCUGUCUGAACAGCCGUGAGGAGCAAAAGAUUGAUGCUUUGCAAGAGUUGGAUGGCUUUGAGAGGGCUCACAAAAAUUUCAGUCCUGCUGAGGUGGAAAGGGUGGAGAAGAUGGAGCAGCUGGAAAGGAUGGUGCUGGACCUCCAGCAGGAUGUCCUCUCUCUGAAGAAGAAGGUGCAGAGGCUGGAAUCCCUGUCCUUCCAGGAGGAGCCCCACCGACAGCCAUGUGAGGUGGUGGAGCUCUUCAACGGCUACACCAAGGAGCAGCUGAAAGAGACCAUCAGGUUUGACCAGAAAAUCAGCACAGCCUGCAAGACUCUGCUCUACAAGCUCUUCACCUCUGACUACAUCCAGAGCCACUCCAUCACGGGGCGCAGGGGCAACACCUUCCGCGAGGCGAAGCCCAUGAUGGACGAACGCUGCAUCAAAAUCAUCAGGGUGCUGCUGAAGCAGAAGUUUGGGGAUCACCUCAGUGACACUGUGAUCACAGAGAAGAUCCAGAACGUGCAGAAAGCCCUGAGGCAGAAGUUUAAGACAGAGUGUCUCUGAGAUGUGGGAGAUUUGGUGUCUCCUCCUGCCAUUCCCGUGUGUGUCCCUGAGCAGCUUUCCCAGGAGAGAUGAGCUGAGCAGCUGCUGCUCAGUAGAUUUCCCCCAGGGAGCCAGCCCAAGUAAACCAUGUGCUAAACACAGCUCAAACACUGCCAAACCUCUUCCUCCAUUAACCAAGCAGGAACUGGGCCCAGCUUGGCUCAGUUUUUGCACUCUACAAGUUCCUUCCCAUCCAGCCUGUGUACAAACCUCACUGUGGGUGCAUGGAAUCACCUCUGUGACUCUGAUGAUGUGCUCAAAGGCUCCAUUGGAGUCCAAGAAUGGGUCAGGAAGGUAGCCCUGUUCCACACUGCAGAUAUGUUGGCUUUGGGAUAGGGAAUCCAGCUGUGUCACCUAAUGCAGCUUCUCUCUGUCUGCCUCUGGUUGCCUCAUUCUGCCUGUGGGACAAUAUUUACUCUUUCCUCACAGUGAAUGUUUUAUUUCCAGCACUAACAAAAAGGCAGACUCAUUAAAAUGACAUCUUAAAACAUUCAGAAAAAGAUAACUCGUUUUUUUUUUUUUUCUGUUUAUCUUAAUGUAGCUAUAUAGAGGAGUUGUCUUCCCUAACAAAAGUUUGCUGAACAAGAGAAGGGGUCAAUUAAUGGAACUUCCAAGGGAACCCAUGGAAGUUCCAUUAAUUUUCCUUUCAAGAUCAGAUUAUUUCCAUACAGGAGAAAUCCCUAACAUUUUUAUGACACAAGAGUGAGGGAUGGAGGACAAAAUAUGGCCCAACUUUGCUUUGAAGGUAUAUAUCUUGUGGACACUGUCACUAUUAUUUAAAUACAGUAUUUUUAUCCUAGAUAAAAAAUGCCAAGUACAAUCAGUCCCUUUGCUGAGGGACUACAGAGAAGGUCUAGAAAGAGAAAUCUUUUCCUAAAUAAUUCAGAGCUGGAGUGUGGGUGGAUUAAAAUUGUUCUAAGUGUUAAAAGAAUGAGAUGCUGACACCAGUCCAGCACUUAACAGAAGUGCUGCAAAAUCCCAAACAUUCCCUUUUACAGAGGCUUCUCAGACAGGGAAUUGGUUUUCUCAGCUUAAUUUUUAAAUUAUUCAGGAAAAGAAAUGCCAGUGGGAUUGCAUUAAUCAAAACAUUUGGUUUAAUUUAUAUGUUUUGUUGUGUUUUCAAAUAUUUAAUUUCUUCACAGUUACAUGAGAAAUAAUAAUGCAAAAUAAAUGUAUUGGAGAAACAAGAAGCUGUUUUGAA